AUUGAACGCUGGCGGCAGGCCUAACACAUGCAAGUCGAACGCGUGGCGGACGUGUGAGUAAUGUCUGGGACACUGCCUGAUGGAGGGGGAUCACUACUGGAAACGGUAGCUAAUACCGUAUACCCGCGGAUGUGCCCAGAUGGGAUUAGCUAGUAGGUGGGGUAAGGGCUCACCUAGGCGACGAUCCCUAGCUGGUAUGAGAGGAUGAUCAGCCACACUGGGACGGAGACACGGUCCAGACUCCUACGGGAGGCAGCAGUGGGGAAUAUUGCACAAUGGGCGCAAGCCUGAUGCAGCCAUGCCGCGUGUAUGAAGAAGGCCUUCGGGUUGUAAAGUACUUUCAGCGGGGAGGCGUUACCGGCAGAAGAAGCACCGGCUAACUCCGUGCCAGCAGCCGCGGUAAUAC
rnacentral:rRNA from 1 species